GCCCGGUUGGUCUAGUGGUAUGAUUGUCGCUUCGGGUUGCCCCCCGGGAAUUCUAUUUCUCAAUUGUGACAGGUCUCCGGUUCGAUCCCGGAAUCGGGCC
rnacentral:tRNA from 1 species